rnacentral:rRNA from 1 species
CACGUAGGGGGGCAAGCGUUGUCCGGAUUUAUUGGGCGUAAAGGGCUCGUAGGCGGUUCGACAAGUCGGGUGUGAAACCUCCAGGCUCAACCUGGAGUCGCCGCUCGAAACUGUUGUGACUAGAGUCCGGUAGAGGAGCAUGGAAUUUGUGGUGUAGCGGUGGAAUGCGCAGAUAUCACAAGGAACACCAGUAGCGAAGGCGAUGCUCUGGGCCGGUACUGACGCUGAGGAGCGAAAAGCAUGGGGAGCGAACAGG